rnacentral:ribozyme from 1 species
UAGUGGUCCAGACCAGUGAAUACGAUCUGGGAAACUAGGUAGGGAAACAUCAUCUUUGGAUGAGUAAAUUAACUACC